UGCCUUCUUUUUUGGGAAAUUGCAGAGGAAUUUUUCUCCUUAUAGCCGAGCGAUGCUCAGUGUCCCUGCGCCCCUGGGUACCACAGUGCUUCCGAAGACCGGAGACAGGGCUGUGUCCAGCAGGUAUAUGAGAUCUGCAGAGAUGCUGCCGUCCGGAACCAAGAGGGAGAGUGUCUGAUGAAAGAAGAAUGGGCCACUUACUGCAGGGAAAAGAUUUGCUCCCUCCCGGAAGAUUACCGAGGCUAUGACAAAGUUCUUGGCCUCUGCCUUUGUCAAGCCGACCGCCUGGACGCCCUGUGCAACCUCGCGUGCCGACGAAGACAAAAGGGCAUUUUGCAAUUCGUCUGUGGUCAAGAACCAGCCUGGCUUUCCUUGAUGUACAGAAACGGGAGCCAGGUCAACAUUUCUUUGGAAGGCACAACGGCUUCCCUGCAGAACUUAGAUUUCCUCACCUGGAAGGAUUGCAUCCCUGAAGGGAACGGAGGAUCCCGCCCCAUCUAUGUAGUCAAAGCAAAUAGAAGCGGGUUCUUAGGCGUGUACAAUCCCGAACCAGAACUGUUACACGGCCUCCUUACCUCAAAUGGGAUCUUGCCAGACUCUCAAAAUGCAUGGCAUCCCCCAGCUUCCUCAGGUAUUUCUUGUGUAUUUCUAUAUACGCAAAUGUAAAAACUUGCAUUCUGCCCUUCGCCAGGUGUGCUGAAGUAGCCUGCAAUGUAUACCACUAAUAAAAUAAGAGAAAUAAU
rnacentral:lncRNA from 1 species